rnacentral:tRNA from 1 species
AUCUCAGUGGUAGAGUGAUUGCUUAGCAUGCAGAAGGUCCUGGGUUCAAAUCCCAG